rnacentral:rRNA from 1 species
UACGGAGGGUGCGAGCGUUAUCCGGAUUUAUUGGGUUUAAAGGGUGCGUAGGCCGUCUGGUAAGUCAGCGGUGAAAUUUCAGGGCUCAACCCUGAGAUUGCCGUUGAUACUGUCGGACUGGAGUGUUGUCGGCGCGGGAGGAAUGCGGCAAGUAGCGGUGAAAUGCAUAGAUAUGCCGCAGAACACCAAUAGCGAAGGCAUCCCGAGAGGCGACACUGACGCUGAGGCACGAAAGCGUGGGUAUC